rnacentral:pre_miRNA from 1 species
UUAGUACUUCCUCCGUCUCAAAAUAAAUGACUUAAAAAUGACUCAAUUUUGCACUACUUUAGUGCAAAAUUGAGUCACACUUUGAGUCAUUUAUUUUGAAACGGAGGGAGUACUUA